GUUAAAAUACGUAUGUAUUUUUUUAAAGAAUAUAAAAGAAUGUGUGACAGCAGGAAGAUGUGUACUCAGGAAAACAAAUGUGUUUGUCAAGGGAAAAAAGCUUCUGCUACAAGCUAAAGAUCUGGAAUUGAGCCUUCCGUAAGAAAUAUCACAAAGACAUCAGUAAAGGACUAUUAUCAGCCUCAGAAUCCUGCUAUUGCGACUACUAACAUCAAGUAUUUGAUGUGUCUGCAUCCUUUCAACAAAGCGAUGUAGGAAGAUACAGCAAGAACCAGAAGACAUCUCAGAAGCACCAAGAGGCAAUUCUUUACCUUAUAGAAAUUUUCCUCGGGAUCAAGGAGUGAUAGAGGUAAGGUGAGGAAUAGUUCAUUAAUUAACUAGACGAAUCAACACUUCUGAAUCUCAGUAUCCUUAAACAUAAAAUGAGGAGGUUGACUCUCAGUAUCCUUAAAUAUAAAAUGAGGAGGUUGGAUUAAAUGAUCUCUCAAGUUUAUUUUAGUUCUAUAAUGAGAUAAUAGGAUUAUUAUAGGUAAAAGGUGUAUGCACAGAGCCCAUUUAUAGUUGGCAAAGAUUUGUAGACCACUCACUACUCAUUGUUGCAUUUACAUGUUUGCAAGUACUUCUUGUUAAAAGUAUGUAGGUCUAUGGCAGC